UACAGAGGGUGCGAGCGUUAAUCGGAAUUACUGGGCGUAAAGCGCACGUAGGCGGCUUGGUAUGUCGGGUGUGAAAUCCCCGGGCUCAACCUGGGAACUGCAUCCGAAACUGCCUUGCUAGAGUAUGGGAGAGGGAAGUGGAAUUUCCGGUGUAGCGGUGAAAUGCGUAGAUAUCGGAAGGAACAUCAGUGGCGAAGGCGACUUCCUGGACCAAUACUGACGCUCAGGUGCGAAGGCGUGGGGAGCAAACAGG
rnacentral:rRNA from 1 species